rnacentral:tmRNA from 1 species
GGGGGUGAUCGGUUUCGACAUUGGUCGGCAUUUCAGGGGAAGCGGGUCGAGGAUGCCUGGUUAUCUCGUUAACGCUCCUGGCAAACCAAUAGGUGCCAAUUCCAAGCGCACCGACUUCGCCCUCGCCGCCUGAGCGAGCCUCGAAGUCCGUCAGCCUGAGUUAGUUCUCGUCUCAGUGUCUGGCGUCAGCUAGAGAACUUGCUGCGCAGCCAUGUCGGGGGGCUGCGCGGGACUCCUACUCGACUGGGCCUGUCAGCGGACGUGUGCGUGCGAGCGCUGGGGCCGAGAAAAUCCGCAGCGCACUGCACCCGGAGAAGCCCUGGUUUCCCGUCAAUGGACGCGGGUUCAAUUCCCGCCACCUCCACCA